rnacentral:rRNA from 1 species
UACGAGGGGGGCAAAUGUUGUUCGGAAUCACUGGGCGUAAAGGGCGCGUAGGCGGUGUGUCAAGUCAGGCGUGAAAGCCCCGGGCUCAACCUGGGAACCGCGCUUGAUACUGGACGGCUCGAGUUCGGGAGAGGGAAGUGGAAUUCCAGGUGUAGCGGUGAAAUGCGUAGAUAUCUGGAGGAACACCGGUGGCGAAGGCGGCUUCCUGGGCCGACACUGACGCUGAGGCGCGAAAGCCAGGGGAGCAAACGGG